rnacentral:rRNA from 1 species
CCUACGGGUGGCAGCAGUGGGGAAUAUUGCACAAUGGGGGAAACCCUGAUGCAGCGACGCCGCGUGAGGGAUGAAGGAUUUCGGAAUGUAAAGCUCUAUCAGCAGGGAAGAAAAUGACGGUACCUGACGAAGAAGCACCGGCUAACUACGUGCCAGCAGCCGCGGUAAUACGUAGGGGGCAAGCGUUAUCCGGAUUUACUGGGGGUAAAGGGAGCGUAGACGGUCCUGCAAGCCAGAUGUGAAAGCCCGGGGCUCACCCCCGGGACUGCAUUUGGAACUGUCAGGCUAGAGUGUCGGAGAGGCAGUCGGAAUUCCUGGUGUAGCGGUGAACUGCGUAGAUAUUCGGAGGAACACCAGUGGCGAAGGCGCCCUGCUGGACCAUGCCUGACGUUGAUGCUCGAAAGCGUGGGGAGCAAACAGGAUUAGAUACCCCAGUAGUC